rnacentral:lncRNA from 1 species
GGGCCCUCAUGGGGUUUUUGAUUAUGUGAUUACUUGGCCGUUUUUUUAAUGAUUAUUUGAUUAUUAAGCCAAAUAUUUCAUGAUUAUUUGAUUACCUAGGACUGUAUUUUUAGUUUAUGAUUAUUUGAUUACUAAAGAUAAGCAAAUAUUUAAUGAUUAUGUGAUUAUAUUGGCAAAAAAAUGGUGAUUAUGUGAUUACUAGGACCCCCCCCAUGAGGGGCCUCAAAGAUAUAUUGGUGCCAAAGACAAAACUGUCAAAUAGAGAACAGAAGGACAUUACAAAAUCCCGCCAUGAUAAACUUUGAAACAGUUAGAGACAGACAAAGACAAGAACCAAUCUAAAUUGUGGACAACACUUUAAACGAAACAACAAAUAUGAUACACGACAACCACUAAAGGUGGUACCCAACACUUUGACUAAAAUUAAUUUGGCUCGUUUAAUUUUCUUAAAAUUUUGACAAAGUAAUUACUUUGACCCUUUGACAAGAAUAUAAAAAUUUAAAAAAAUUUGAACCAACCGUUUUAUCAGAAAAAUUACACUGGUUAUAUAGCAGUUUGAUGAACACUUAUUUUGAUCAUUGAAAAGCUUGAUAUUCCCUUAACAACACAACGUAAUCAAAACGUUUAGCUGAUUUUACAGAGUUAUCUCCCCGUAGUGUUAGGUACUCCCUUAAUUACAGGC